rnacentral:lncRNA from 1 species
ACCGCUCCUUCCGGUGGUGAAAAUUUGAGAAAUUUGAAAAUUAUGAGACCAAUAUUGGUAAUUCCCUAAGAGAGUCUACCAAUCGUGCAGGCCAGGCCUCAGCCAUCUGCCUACCCAGUUGGCUUAGUUUCUCUACCAACUGUUCCUUAGCCCACCCAGACUCUCCCAGGGAAGUUCAAUUAAGCCGUGCCUUGAUGGGAUUUGUUUUUCCAGGUCAAGUUACUAGGCCUAGGUUUCUCUGUGUCCCCUGGGGUUAAUUCUGAAUUAAAUCCUCAUUAACUCUUUCUAUAGAGUAACCUCAGUGCAUCCCCUUCUCUUCCAUCCUCCCCUAACCUCCAUGUCAACACCAAUUUCAGUUCCUAAGACUCGGGAGAAAUAUAGGGAGCGCAGACCACAAAACUUGUGGCCUCUGGGACGAGUCUGAACCUACUGGGCUGAAAGCAAAGGGGUAAGAUGGGGAAGGCAGCUACCAGGGACUUCUGGGGGUCUUUAAAAAUGUCUCACAGCAAUGCUCCUUGCCUCUGCCAUUCAAGGACAGGAAAGACAUUCUGGCCUGGCUUCCCUUAGGGGAGCUGAUGCGGAGUAGAGUCACUUGUGCUGUAAGUAGGAGGAACCUGUUGUCUCGGUUUUGUUGGCUUUGGGGUUCUAUCUCCUCCUUCUGUAUGGUUCCCUUUCAGGUAGCCUGGGCUGCGGGAGACCUGGCUAUAACACAAACCCUGGUCCUAACUUGAACUGUACUGUGGAAUAUGCUCUUCUCUCCUGCUUGCUGCUUUUCACUCCUUUUCAACGUGAAUCUAUCAGCAUCUUGCUCUUGAGACAGAGUGAAAUUUGGAAUAAUGUUUAUAGAAUGACCAGUUGUUCUCUUGUUCUUACAUUUUAAGUAGCAAACAACAGCUUGCGGCAAGCUUCCUUGGUUAGAUGGCCUUUACUCUUUUGUGGGAUGCGUAGGAAUUCAGUUGGCAACUUUGCUUCCAGAUGUGGAAAGAAGUUCUUCCUCGUUUCUUGGAAAGUUAAACGGGUCUAUUUGAUUCACAGAUGGAGGUCAGAGCUGUUAAGAGAUUAACACUGAGGAUGUAAGCAACAUUUUGCUGACUAGCCAAGUAUCUCCCCUGCAACCCCCAGUUCUCUUUACCCUGCUUUGCCAUUCCCUAGCAGUAAAACCAUAAAAAGCAUAGUAUUCUCAGAAGAACUCCUUGGUGUCAACUUUGACCCAGAGUCACACUGGAAUGCUGCUUUAUAUUUUCUUCAGAGUUGCUUGUAGGAUCUGUGUUCAACCCAUUCAUACAGAUCAAAAUUUAGCACUUAGGAAUCCAUCUGUCUGAUUAAAUUAGUUCACUUUGUACUCAUUACAGUAAAAGCCAAUCACCCAAAUGUCAUUUAUUGCAACCUGCCUUUGCCUUUAUAUGUGUUGAAUAUUUUUAGACUUGAUACCCAGUUCGACUAAAUGUCCAUUAGAUGGAAGCUUGAGUGAUGCCUGCAACUGUGGCUGAGUCUGCUGUGUCUCAGUGACGUUGGAUAUUUGUUCCACUGUUUGCUUUGGAGAGGCGUGGGUGGCUGAAUGGAGGACACAUUAAUGUCACGCUUGGUUUUCUUUGUUUGAGGGAGAUCUUAUGGACCAAGAGCAUCUCAGCCCCAGCAUCCAGUGCUCUGGUGGCGCUCAUGCUGUCCCCAGAGGUCUCGUGUGUAUUCUGAAGGUUUGCUCAGCCGACUCUCUUCGGUUCUGACUUGAUUCUUUCCAGCAGGAAAUUGCAUCUGCCAUCCAAGCCUCCUCCCUCCUUCUGCUUUAAAGUUGUGGAAGCUGCUGAGAAGAUCACUGACUUCGGCCACACUUAGGGAGUUCACAACACCCUCCAAGUGAAAGGAAUUGAGAGAGGCUGUUCCACAGCUCUGUCGAUAGGGUACUUGCCUAACCUGUGUGAAACCCUGGGUUUGAUUCCCCAGCAUCACAUAAAACUGGACAUGGCACUAGACAUGGUGGCCAACCCCUUCAAUCUCUAUGAGUUCAAGGCCAGCUUGGUCUACAUAGUGAGUUCCAGGUCAGCCAAGGCCACAUCGUGAGCCCCUGUCUCAAAAAAAGAAAAGAAACCAACCGGAUAUGAGGUGUAUGCUUGUGAUUCCCAACACUUGGAAGGUAGAGGCAGGAGAGCCAGAAGUUCAGUCAUCCUUUGCUAUGAGACUACAUCUCAAACAAAUGAACAAGCAAAUAGAUGGAAUUCAGAAAAUCAGAAGAGAGUCUGACCACGAGGGAACAGAAAUAGAAACAUGGCUUCUAAAGGUGAUAGGUGGGCAGGCUGAAGGGAAUGGGGCUGGCCUCAAACUCAGAAAUCUGCCUGCCUCUGCCUCCCGAGUGCUGGGAUUAAAGGCGUGUGCCAUCAUUCUGUUUCUUGAGAAAGGCCACAGUUUCAAACCUUCUCUGCAGUUUGAACUCAAGAGUCUUGAAGCCAAGCGUGAGCCUCAGCUGAAUCCUAAAACCCCAAACUACCUGAGGACACAGGAGAAAAAAAUAACCUCAGACUCAUUUUCUCCUGUAUGCUCACUCAAUAAUCAACAGAAGAACUAAGUGACAGAUAUCAGUGAGUGGCCCUCCAUGUACCAAGCAAGCUAACAAUUCUGAAGCAGACUCCAACCGGGUGUCUUUUAACUCAGUUGUGAUACUCUUAAAGGCAGUGCCAGAUCCCACAGUUAAGGGCAUGUCCAGAUGGCAGUCCUGAGCCUCAGGUUCCUUUGUCCAGGGUUUAACCACCUAUCGAAGGGUUUUCCCAAACCCCUCCUCAGAACUCAGGAGUAUCAUUAAGGUACUGCGGUUUACCAUAAAGGAUGUCACACAGGAUGCUGAUGGACAGCAGAUGAAGAGGUUCGUGGGGGAAAACUUAGGGGAAAGACACACAGCUACCAACCCUCUCCAGGUGUACCAGCUUCCAGGAACCUCUGUGUGAUCAGCUGUCCAGAUGUUCCCUGCACCUUGUUCUUCGGGGCAUUUGUUACAUCAGUAUGAUGGAUGAACUAAUUACUUGGCCAACUCUCCUUUAGCUGCUGUCCCCUGGAGGAAGGGCAUGGAGCC